UAGGGAAUCUUCGGCAAUGGGGGCAACCCUGACCGAGCAACGCCGCGUGAGUGAAGAAGGUUUUCGGUUCGUAAAGCUCUGUUGUAAGUGAAGAACGUGUGUGAGAGUGGAAAGUUCACACAGUGACGGUAACUUACCAGAAAGGGACGGCUAACUACGUGCCAGCAGCCGCGGUAAUACGUAGGUCCCGAGCGUUGUCCGGAUUUAUUGGGCGUAAAGCGAGCGCAGGCGGUUUAAUAAGUCUGAAGUUAAAGGCAGUGGCUUAACCAUUGUUCGCUUUGGAAACUGUUAAACUUGAGUGCAGAAGGGGAGAGUGGAAUUCCAUGUGUAGCGGUGAAAUGCGUAGAUAUAUGGAGGAACACCGGUGGCGAAAGCGGCUCUCUGGUCUGUAACUGACGCUGAGGCUCGAAAGCGUGGGGAGCAAACAGG
rnacentral:rRNA from 1 species